rnacentral:rRNA from 1 species
GAUGAACGCUGGCGGCGUGCCUAAUACAUGCAAGUCGAGCGAACAGAUGAGGAGCUUGCUCCUCUGACGUUAGCGGCGGACGGGUGAGUAACACGUGGAUAACCUACCUAUAAGACUGGGAUAACUUCGGGAAACCGGAGCUAAUACCGGAUAAUAUAUUGAACCGCAUGGUUCAAUAGUGAAAGACGGUUUUGCUGUCACUUAUAGAUGGAUCCGCGCCGCAUUAGCUAGUUGGUAAGGUAACGGCUUACCAAGGCAACGAUGCGUAGCCGACCUGAGAGGGUGAUCGGCCACACUGGAACUGAGACACGGUCCAGACUCCUACGGGAGGCAGCAGUAGGGAUUCUUCCGCAAUGGGCGAAAGCCUGACGGAGCAACGCCGCGUGAGUGAUGAAGGUCUUCGGAUCGUAAAACUCUGUUAUUAGGGAAGAACAAAUGUGUAAGUAACUAUGCACGUCUUGACGGUACCUAAUCAGAAAGCCACGGCUAACUACGUG